CGGAUGGCGGCGGCCCCGGCCGGAGGCAAUAAAACACCGGGAAUGAUGCGGCAAAACGGGCCGGAGCUGCGUGGCGAAAUAAAUCAUCCCACGCGGAGGAGGCGGUUUUCUGCCCGGCCUUUCGCGUUGGCCCCCGACAAAGCCCCGGCGGGCAGCGAGGGCCGGGCUGGAUGCGGCCCUGCACGGCGCCCCCGGCCGCUGCCAUCAUCUCCUCCCACCUCCCUCGCCUUCACCUUGGAGCGAGCGGCUCGCCGAGCUGCCAGCGGUGAUAAAAUGGCUGUGCCCCGAAUUUAUGGGGCUUAUCUAGCCAUUUAAUUGCCUUCUGCGGCGGCGAAGAUGUGAAAUUAGUCUCCCUUCUGAUCUUGAGCUAAGUUGGUCCAAAGCACCGUCUUAUAAUUUGCUCAGAUCAUCUCGCCGUCGGGUGGUGGAAGACACGGGGCCGGGGCUGCAGGGAGCACUGGAGUUCACACGGGACAGGAGUUCCACCUCGCUGUCCUGGAGUCACGCUGCUGGGUUCGCUUGCGUAGGAAUGGCAAUAUUUAGACUCGGUGCCACUUGCAGGAAGCUUUCAAUCAAGUGCUCUUCUCCAUCUCCCCUAGCAACAGCCGAGAAACGGAGCCGGUCUGGGGGACGGGGGAGAAGCUGAGGCAGGGGCAGCAGCAGGAAGAUGCCUGUCCCCAUCCAUCCUCUGCUGUCCCCGUGCUGGGGACAGCCUCCCUGACCUCCCGUCCAGGCUGGGCGCCUGCAGACGGACCUUUGGAGGCAUCAAAGGAGGUGGAGAUUCCAGCCCCUAUUGAAUUUCUAGUCCCCAACGACCUGAGGGGCAGGGGAAAGAAGGGAACUGGUUUUUGUCUGCUCGGUAUCUCAGACAAUCAAUGAAUUAAAGGGAAAUAAACUGCUGAUGAGGAGCGAACGUGGAGCUCGACGUGCUGCAAAACGUGAGGAGCAGAGAAGCGGCCGUGGCCAUUCCACAGUGCGGGGCAGGAAAGGGACGAUGGUGUGGGCACAGAGAAGGCCUUUCUUUCAUUUGUUCCUGGCCAAGAGCACACGCAGAUCGCCCUGGGGACAGCGGCACUUUCCUCCUCCGCGCAGAAUGUGCUGAAUGCGAGGGUAUUAUUUUUAACAGGGAUAUUUAGCUCCUCUUUACCCUCGUGUAGGUGGUUUACCCUCCACGGCCUCAAUCCCAGGGGAGGCUCCCGGUCAUCGCCCGGCCCCUAAGAACAGCGGAGGAGCAGCAGAGGCUCACAGACACGAGCUGUGCCUCGCCGUGACCGGGAGUUCAGCCCGGCCUCGCUGUGGGAGCGCGUGGAGCACAAAGCCGGGCCCCGCUCGCUCCUUCCACACGGGAUCUGACGACUCCCAGCCCGACGCUUCCCGACCCCCUCCAUCGCGAUCAGCUCUUUCUGCUCGCCGCAAGGCGAGUCGGGCCCUGCUCAGAC
ensembl:lncRNA